UAUUUAAAUUAUUUUAAUUGUAAAAAAACAAUUUUUAAAAAGAAAGACGAUAAGACCCUAUCGAACUUCACUUCAGUUUAACUGGGGCAGUUAAUUAAUUAUUACUUUAAUAAUAUUAAAUAUUUAAUUUGACCUAAUAUAAUUAACAAUAUAAUUAAGUUACCGUAGGGAUAACAGUGUAAUAAAAUUUUUAAGAUCUUAUUUAAAAUAAAGAUUGCAACCUCGAUGUUGAUUUAAUAUUCUAAUUUACGCAAUAGUUAAUUAAGAAAGUCUGUUCGACUUUUAAAAAAUUACAUGAUUUGAGUUCAGACCGGUGUAAACCAGGUCGGUUUCUAUCUUC
rnacentral:rRNA from 2 species